CCCGAGAACUGGGCCCUCUUUUUGGCCGUCUACCGGAUGCCCGGAGAGUCUGAACGAUUCAUUUGUAGAUAAAAACAGAGGGACAAGAAGUUUGAAGACCGAAAAGCGGGGCAGCAACUCUCUUAGUGUUUUUGCCCCUCUCCUGACUUUCUGACGGCCGAAACCGACAGGAAGAGGGGGAGAGAGAAAGCUGGAAGAAAAUUCCGGCUUCAAUCUGCCAGCGUCUCUGCUUCCUUCUUGGGGAGCUGCCACUUCCCCUUGUCUCCAGUGGCCGAAGACUCCUUAUAACUCCAAGGACAACGUGCUUGCACCACCUUUAUUGUUCUCACGUUUGUUGAGCACUUUGUUCAGCGUGGAGCUACAGAGUUGCCAUGAGACAUGAACUAUCUAGACCCUGACAAACCAAGGAAGACAUCAAUAAAGCUAUGCUGAUUCCACCCUGAAACAAACAAGAAUCCUUCAAGACCUUAAGAUAACAUCAAGGAGGAGAAUAGAAGACAGAUGAAACCUCUGUGAGAUUUUGCACCUGGAUCCUUAUACAUCACCCUCCCUCCUGCUUUUUAUUUCCCACAUUCCAUUUCCUCAAUCCCCUCUUUAAAACCCCCUCAGUAAGUCUGAGUCUUUGAGAUGGUUUUAGUUUGGCCAUCUCCUUCACGAUUACCAGGGAAAUGGGUUAGCCUAACAUCUCCUUCAGGUUAGCAGUUUACCUGUCCUGAAUAAAGCUGACUACCUUUCACCAACA